UCUCCGUGAGAUCACGGUUGAAAGUUAGUCCGAAUUCGAUCCCGACUCUCUUUUCAAAAAUGAGUUUCAAAAGUUAGAACUCCGCUUGGUAAGAUUAUUGAAGCGGGGUUAUAAUUUUUAACUCGAGAAGCCAAAGUUGAAAUGACUCAACUAAUCUUGGUUACAUCGUGGGAUCAUGAUUAAUCUUGAUUAUGUGCGCGAGAUUGUCGCCUUGUCGUAAGUCUUUCACUUCAAUUUGUCAGCCUUUAGGAUAGUUAGAAUAGGGUUAACCUCACGAUCCAUGUGCAUGUCUAAUUUGACUUAUAUUGCAUCUUUGACGG